ensembl:snoRNA
GCAUGGGUUUGGAUUUAUGACAGGCCUGUCCCCCUGGGCCUCUCAUAAUACCCUAUGCCAGAGCAGACUGUCCUCGAACCAUUGCCCGGCCUCUGUUCCGUAGGCUGCUGGCACUGAAGCGGGUUGCAUGGGG